rnacentral:ncRNA from 1 species
UUGCGCAGGGCAUGCUUCAUGACCACCGCCGAGAAACUGAGGCCCUUCAGCCGCGCGGUGCGGAUAUAUUGCUGCGUCAUCACCUCCACCAUGGAGGCCCGCGUCAUGCGCGCGAUGUAGCCGAUGCCGUAAAUGGCCAGCGUCAUCACCGGCAGCGUGAAAUUGUAAAAGGUUAUGCCGCGGGA